AUGGACCAGCACCAGGAGCUGGAGGUGGAUGUGGAGGGAGAGCCAACGGAUCAGCGCAAGGAGGAGGAGGCGGACGCGGACGCGGGCAAGCCUGAAGAGCCGACGGAUCAGCGCAAGGAGGAGGAGGAGCGGGAGGAGGGAGACAACCUCAAAGAGCCAACGGAUCAGCGCAAGGAGGACAAGCCUGACGGGCUGACGGAGCAGCACAAGGCGGAGGCGGUGGCGGUUGCGGUGGUGGUGGCGGAGGUGGACAAGUCUGAAGAGCUGACGGACCAGCGCAAGGCGGGGGCGGUGGUGGAGGUGGAGGUGGACAAGUUUGAAGAGCUCACCGACCAGCGCAAGGAGGAGGCGGCGGAGGACAAGGACAAGGAGACGGAGAGGAGCUCCAGCGAAGAGUCGCCGUCGCUCUUCGUGCACCCGUGCUCGCUGCUGCUGCGGUACCUCGUCCGUGCCUACGCCUGGUGCAUGGGCAUGGCCGACUGGUUCGGCGGCGGCGGCACAAGGCCGAGCGCCGCUCCUGCCGCGUCCCUUAACUCGUCACGGGAAGAAGCAGGCGAGGCGGCGGGCGUCAGGACCAGGGAGAUCUCCAGCUCCAAGACCACUGACAGAGGGUUCUACGUGCGGGAGAUGAUCGUGAGCAUGUGGGCGGUGAGGAGGCCGCGGCCGCCCGGCAACCCGAGGGAAGGGCGCGGCGGCGGUGGAGGAAGCCACAACUAG
rnacentral:rRNA from 1 species